rnacentral:rRNA from 1 species
UACGGGGGGGGCAAGCGUUGUUCGGAAUUACUGGGCGUAAAGGGCUCGUAGGCUGCCAACUAAGUCAGACGUGAAAUCCCUCGGCUUAACCGGGGAACUGCGUCUGAUACUGGAUGGCUUGAGAUUGGGGAGAGGGAUGCGGAAUUCCAGGUGUAGCGGUGAAAUGCGUAGAUAUCUGGAGGAACACCGGUGGCGAAGGCGGCAUCCUGGGACCGACACUGACGGCUGAGGGAGCGAAAAGCCCAGGGGGAGCAAACGGGG